rnacentral:lncRNA from 1 species
GCUAUGGUAACAAUGUAACCAGGAACGGUACCGCAAAGAGCUAUUAAAAAUUGUGCCUUAGAGAUCAUGAAGAGCUCUUGGAUUGCGUUCAUGGUUUUUGGUGGGGGUAACCAACCAAUGGUGGUGAAGAUAUCUUUCUGGAAGAGGUUUUGGCUGUAGAAAGCUAUGUCGAGGAGGAACCAUGUGGUUGUUGUUGCGAGUAGGUGAAGUCCGUGGCGGCGGAGGAAUUUCGCGGAGAACAAGCCAAACUCGUCUGAAGAAAACCUAGCUUGGUCAUGCUUCGCGGAAGAGGCCUCAAUGUCUACAUUAAGAACCUUAGCCAUAUCCGAAGCAGCUUGCUCCGACUUCUCGUUGAAACUUCUUUAGCUCGGAAAUGAGCCAAACUUACGAGAUUUGAUAAAAUUUAUCAUUUUCCUUUAUGUUUAGAUAGAGAAUUCGAAGCUCGUCUCGUAGCACUUCCUGUUGGCGAAAAGUCGCGGCUAGGUUUUUUUUUAUUUUUUUUAGGCACUAUGGCAUUUGCGUAAUCGUUGGCCAUAUGCGCAGUGGCGGCUGGGGUUGUCUUACCAGCGUUGUUGCGAGCUGCGAUUUUGUCUUUCGUGUUUCCAGACAUUGUUUUGAUCAAACAUUUUGUGGCUGAGAGUUAGAUUGAUCCGUACCCCCUCCUUCAAGUGCCAAACUGUGGGAACCGAAAUUCGCACUGUUGAUUUCCGUUUAAAUUAGGAAAGUUAGGAAAACCCUAAUUUCCCAGUGGUCCCGGAUAUCUGUUAAACCACACACCAAGCAAUCAGAACACACAAUUAGAGACGAAAAGAUAUAAGAAAUCGUAAAAGAGAGCAAAAGGAGUUUUAUUCCGAAUCCGCGUAUGAGCGAUACAACAAGGUAGAAGCCUUGGCUACGAGAGCUGUCAGUGAGAUUCCUAAUUCUAACAACCUAAGACUGCAAAACCUAGUUGAGUCGCAGCUCGAAAUAACAAAAACGGAAAGUUGCCCAAUUGCUCUAAGUGCUAAGUUUGCUCUGAGAAAAGUCCUCCCAUGACUCUCGCCUAGGACUCCUUAUAUACUGGCUCCUAGGUCAGUUUACGCUUUUCCUCUUCUGCCCUUAAGUCGUCAUAGCAUAAAAAUGGAGAUAUUCCAUUUUUUCCGAUCUUCGUAAUUAUCUUCAAAAUUUCGUAUUUAUCCGCGGAAACUUGACAUUUAUUUUUCCUUGCGAACCAAGCAUAAACCGUCCUACGGUUUAUGGGCUUUUGGUUAAGAAAUCUUAAAGAAAUAUAGAUGAGUAUAUUCUCUUCCAAAAGGAGCAUAAUGCCAUAACUUAAUUAUUUUGUUUAGUGUUUAUUCUAACAAUUUUUUAAAAAAAAAUUAUAUUUUCAGAUCUAUAUUUUUUUAUAUAUAUUGGGAGAGAUUUUUUUUUUUUUUUCUUGAUAUCCGAUGGUAAAAUACUGUUACUGAGUAUAUUCUUUUUUUUUUCAUUUUCCUUCCAUGCGGAAAUUAAAUCCUCAGGCUUACUUCCGAAAAUGUAGGUAACUUUUGUUACGUUAUUCCGGUUUUUUUUCAUUCAUAUAUGAUAAAAAAUAUUGAGGUUUUAGGUCUGUGACCGAGAAUGAAAAAAUAGUCCAAAAGAUCCAAUAAUUAAAUAUGUAAUAAGGCCCCGGUAAUGUAAUAGGCUUUGAAGGCUUAGAGAGAGGGACUUAAUUUCCAAAAGAUCACAAAAGUUAAUUAAAUCCAAGAUAUACUGAUAUACUCGUAUACAUAAGCAUAAUGGACAAAAGCCACAAAUAGAACAUCAUAACGUCAAGACCGGGGAAGAAAAUAAAAACAAACAUGACACUCGAAAUAAUAUAAUUUGAAAAUGAAAUACAAUACUUUUAUCGUGAUCAUUUCUCAACCUCAGUCUCACCGGAGAGUUCUUCGAGGGACUUUCCCUUGGGCUCAGGAACAAGGAACGUGAAGAGCAUACCGACAAAGUUAAUGACACCAAGCAUGAUCAGUGAGUUCUUGACUCCAAUGCCUGGUGGGUACCCUGCGUCGGUCUUGGUCUUGUCCUGUGGCUGAGCUGCGUAUAAGAACCCGAAAGCUCCCACGAUGGCUCCAGCUUUACCUGUCGCUGCUGAUAUUCCAUGGCAUGUGGAUCUUAGCCUAGCCGGGAAGAUCUCAGCUGGUACAAUGAAGGUUGUCGCAUUUGGUCCAAAAUUGGCAAAGAAGAAAGUGAGAGAGUACAUAACGACGAAUCCGAUGCGGUUGUCUGGUUUGAUACAGUGGUCGUAAGGGAAGGCAAUGGCAAACAUAAACACGGUCAUCAUGAAGAAUCCCAUUAGCUGGAUCGCAAAUCUUCCAAUGAUAUCAAUGAAUGCAACCGUGAACCAGUCGCGAUGAGAGUCUGUGCCCUAGCAAUCUUGAAAACUUCAUGGACGGCAUUCAUGGUUGAUGCCUUUGGGAUCCACCCGAUAGCCGAGAAGAUAUCUUUUUGGAACAAAUUUUGGCUGUAAAAGGCAAUGUCAAGCAAGAACCAAGUGGAUGUACAUCCAAGGAGGGGAAGACCAUGGCGUCUAAGGAAUUCUUUGGAGAAUAAGCCAUAGUUAAGUCUUGGGUCUUUAACGAUAUCCUCCGCUCUUUCCUCCAUUUCAAGCUCCACUUGUAAAACCUUGGACAUGUCUUGUGUUGCUUGUUUAAUAUUUUUUGCCACAAAAGCGGUGUACCGAGCGGUUUAUGGCAUUUUCAUUCGCCAGUAGUAUGUCAAGGCUGCGGGUAGAGCACCAAACAUGACGAUGAUUCUCCAAAUGUAAUCAGCUUAAGGAGGCGUUGAGAGAGCUCUGUUGACUGCAUAGGUUUAUGGCAUUUUCAUUCGCCAGUAGUAUGUCAAGGCUGCGGGUAGAGCACCAAACAUGACGAUGAUUCUCCAAAUGUAAUCAGCUUAAGGAGGCGUUGAGAGAGCUCUGUUGACUGCAUAGGUUGGUGCUGGGAACUUCUUGUCGAAUAUGGAAGAUACCGCAAGUGCCACAAACCCUCCGGCCAAGAUACCAAUUCCUUGCAUAGCGAACACGGCAGCUUUGAAAGCACCACGGGUCUUCUUAUUUGCGUAUUCAGACAUGAUAGUGGCGGAAAGAGGGUAGUCACCUCCGAUACCGAAUCCCAGCCAAAACCUAAAAGAAAGAUUGUUAUAUAUAUGUUAAUAUAAGUUUUCUUAAAGAAAUAUAUGUUAGUAAAUCUUGCGUAUUACCUAAAGAAGCAAAGAGUGGUCAUGACACCUUUGGCUUUGUUACCAAAGGAGAGACCAGAAGCGACAGAGCACAAAAUCAUCAUGAUUAAAGUGAUACCGUAAACUUUUUUUCUUCCGAGCUUGUCACCAAGCCAUCCGAAGAAGACUUAACCAGCAAGGGUUCCACAGAGGGCCACACCAUUGACGGCCGCCGCUAUACCCCACGUUCGCAUACGCUGUCCUGUUGAUAACCUGUUCCUUAUUGCCAGCCAUGUUAUGAAAGAGAAUCUAGGGACCCCCUGUGGGAACCAUACCACUUUACUCCACUCAACCUUUGUUCCCUUUUUUCGUAGUUGAUCCCAAGUUCUCGCUGCUGAAUACGUGGUCCUGUAAUCAUCAACCCCAUGCUUCCAUAAUAUAAUAUCGCUACCUGUACCAGGGGAGGGAGGAGCCGUAGCCAAGAUCCGGUCAUAAACCUCCCGGUACCGUCGACUCCUCCAUCCUCGGAUGUUCCACGAAUUGCCCCUCGCAGCAUCACUGACUUAUAUAUAUGUAAGUUAUUAGAGAUUUUGGUACGUUCUUUUUUUAAAAGGUUUUUUUUUUUUUUUGAUGAAAUUUGAAAUUUAUUGAUCAACCUAAGAAAUUUUACAGACCAUUAAAGGUUGGUUAUAGUCUUAGAUGCUAACUAGAAACCAAUCGAAUACGAAUACUAAAGAGUAACUUCGAACCAUCUUCUAAGUAGCCCUUCCAGUUUGUGGCCAUGAGCGUAUCGCAAAGAGCAGAUGCGGUUUCGCACCGCCUUGUCUAUGAAUCUUCUUAGUUGAUCAGUCUGUAUCCCUCCUUGCCGGUGACGCCUUGAAUUUCUUUCCUUCCAGAUGUAGUACACGGUUGUUUGGAAAAGCAUCCUUGCGAGGAUUGAGUCUAGGCUUUUCCCUCCCAUAGUACGCAGCCGAUUGACAGUCCAUUCCCAAUCGGGGUUGAUGUUUCGUCCAACAAGUGGUCUUGCCAGAGAUUCCCAUAUCGUGUAGGAGUAUGGGCAGGCAAAGAACAGGUGUUCUCUUGUUUCAUUUAUCUCGAGCUUUCACCAAAGCAGCAAAACCGAAAGACCCAACCAUCGCACCGGCUUUACCGGAAGCCGCCGAGAUACCAUGACAACUGGACCUAAGUCUAGCCGGAAAAAUCUCAGCAGGGACAAUGAAAGUAGUUGCGUUAGGUCCGAAGUUACAAAAGAAAAAAGUGAGAGAGUAGAGAACAAUGAAACCAAUCCGGUUAUGAGGUAAGGUCCAAUGGUGGUACGGUAAGGCUAGACCAAUCAAGCAAAGCAUCAUCAUGAAGAAUCCAACGACCUGAAUCUUGAACCGUCCCAUCCAGUCGAUGGUAGCUAUGGUAACAAUGUAACCAGGAACGGUACCGCAAAGAGCUAUUAAAAAUUGUGCCUUAGAGAUCAUGAAGAGCUCUUGGAUUGCGUUCAUGGUUUUUGGUGGGGGUAACCAACCAAUGGUGGUGAAGAUAUCUUUCUGGAAGAGGUUUUGGCUGUAGAAAGCUAUGUCGAGGAGGAACCAUGUGGUUGUUGUUGCGAGUAGGUGAAGUCCGUGGCGGCGGAGGAAUUUCGCGGAGAACAAGCCAAACUCGUCUGAAGAAAACCUAGCUUGGUCAUGCUUCGCGGAAGAGGCCUCAAUGUCUACAUUAAGAACCUUAGCCAUAUCCGAAGCAGCUUGCUCCGACUUCUUAG